AUUGAACGCUGGCGGCAUGCCUUACACAUGCAAGUCGAACGGCAGCAUGACGUGUAGCAAUACACGUUGAUGGCGAGUGGCGAACGGGUGAGUAAUAUAUCGGAACGUGCCCUGUAGCGGGGGAUAACCUAUCGAAAGAUGGACUAAUACCGCAUACGCUCUACGGAGGAAAGCGGGGGUCGCAAGACCUCGCACUAUAGGAGCGGCCGAUAUCGGAUUAGCUAGUUGGCGGGGUAAAAGCCCACCAAGGCGACGAUCCGUAGCUGGUCUGAGAGGAUGAUCAGCCACACUGGAACUGAGACACGGUCCAGACUCCUACGGGAGGCAGCAGUGGGGAAUUUUGGACAAUGGGCGCAAGCCUGAUCCAGCCAUGCCGCGUGAGUGAAGAAGGCCUUCGGGUUGUAAAGCUCUUUCGGCAGGAACGAAAUGGUUCGUGCUAAUACCACGGACUGAUGACGGUACCUGAAGAAGAAGCACCGGCUAACUACGUGCCAGCAGCCGCGGUAAUACGUAGGGUGCAGGCGUUAAUCGGAAUUACUGGGCGUAAAGCGUGCGCAGGCGGUUUCUUAAGUCAGAUGUGAAAUCCCCGGGCUUAACCUGGGAACUGCGUUUGAAACUGAGAGACUUGAGUGUGGCAGAGGGGGGCGGAAUUCCACGUGUAGCAGUGAAAUGCGUAGAUAUGUGGAGGAACACCGAUGGCGAAGGCAGCCCC
rnacentral:rRNA from 1 species